rnacentral:rRNA from 1 species
AUCUAAUCUUUCGGGGCUGGUGAGUAACUCGUGAGAACCUGCCUUUUAGGGUGGAACAACAGAGGGAAACCGCUGGUAAUACCCGAUGAACCGAGAGGGGAAAGAUUAAUCGCUAAAAGAGGGGCUCGCGUCGGAUUAGCUAGUUGGUGGGGUAAAGGCCUCCCAAGGAGACGAUCCGUAGCUGGUCUGAGAGGAUGACCAGCCUCCCUGGGACUGAGACACGGCCCCGAUUCCUACGGGAGGCAGCAGUGGGGAAUUUUCCGCAAUGGGCGAAAGCCUGAAGGAGCCAGACCGCGUGAGGGAAGAAGGCUCUAGGGUUGUAAACCUCUUUUAUCAGGGAAGAAGAAAGUGACCGUUCUUGAAGAAAAAGCCUCGGCUAACUCCGGGCCAGCAGCCGCGGUAAGACGGAGGAGGCAAGCGUUAUCCGGAAUGAUUGGGCGUAAAGAGUCCGUAGGUGGAACUUCAAUUCUAUUGUUAAAGAGCAAAGUUUAACUUUGUAAAGGCAGUGGAAACUGAAGAACUAGAGAGGGGCAGGGGCAAAGGGAAUUCCUGGUGUAGCGGUGAAAUGCGUGGAGAUCAGGAAGAACACCGGUGGCGAAAGCGCUUUGCUGGGUCCAUUCUGACCCUGAGGGACCAACGCUAUGGCAGCGAAUGCCAUUAGUAC